rnacentral:rRNA from 1 species
UACGUAGGGUGCGAGCGUUAAUCGGAAUUACUGGGCGUAAAGCGUGCGCAGGCGGUUUUGUAAGCCAGAUGUGAAAUCCCCGGGCUCAACCUGGGAAUGGCAUUUGGGACUGCAAGGCUGGAGUACGGCAGAGGAGACUGGAAUUCCUGGUGUAGCAGUGAAAUGCGCAGAUAUCAGGAAGAACACCCGUGGCGAAGGCGGCUCUCUGGGACGGUACUGACGCUGAGACGCGAAAGCGUGGGGAGCGAACAGG